UUUACAUCCCGUCAUCAUGCUAUUAUAAAUAUAUGUAUUCUGGUCUUUCAUUUUUGCUACUGUGUUUUGUCUGUAUGCCAUUUUGUGCUUUUUUAUAUAUAUGUGUUCACACAUCGUUGAUAAUAUAACGGAAUUUGAAACAACUGUCAUACAAGUGAGAGGUUUAGCUAGCUAUAAAACCAUGUUUAAUCCACCACUUGUUACAUAAGUUAAAUCCUGUACCAAGUAUAUGACAGUUGUUAUGCAUUUGUUUGAUGUGUAAGAGCUUUUGAUUUUGCAAUUUGAUUAGAAACUUUCCGUUUUUAAUUUUCCUUGAAGUUCAGUAUUUAUGGGAUUUAACUUUUUGCAAUCUUAGAAUUAUAAGUAACUGCAAAAGUUUCUUUUGUAUCCUUUUCAGGACAGCUCGUUGUGUUGAUGCUUUUCACAUUUAUAAAAGUGGCCGGGAGAACCCAUCAUACCAACCAUCUUUAGUCUCGUGGAAAUAUGGCGUCAAAGGGUGUUUCCGAACUAACUGUGGACCCAACUUCUGCUGUUGUAUCGUUUGAACAAAAAAGAAUUUGAUCCAGAAAAAGAGAUGUUGUCGUUAUCCUGACGUCUAUCAAUAAAAGCAUAUUUCAAAUCAA
rnacentral:lncRNA from 1 species